CUGCAGUUAGGAAUUUUGGGCAAUGGGCGAAAGCCUGACCCAGCAACGCCGCGUGGGUGACGAAGGCCUUCGGGUCGUAAAGCCCUUUUCCAGGGGAAGAUGAUGACGGUACCCUGGGAAUCAGCCCCGGCUAACUACGUGCCAGCAGCCGCGGUAAUACGUAGGGGGCAAGCGUUGUCCGGAUUUAUUGGGCGUAAAGCGCUCGCAGGUGGUUCAUUGCGUCGUGCGUGAAAGACCCCGGCUCAACUGGGGAGGGUCGUGCGAAACGGGUGAACUAGAGGCCAGUAGGGGGAUGCGGAAUUCCGGGUGUAGUGGUGGAAUGCGUAGAGAUCCGGAGGAACACCAGCGGCGAAGGCGGCAUCCUGGACUGGUCCUGACACUCAGGAGCGAAAGCGUGGGGAGCGAUCCGGAUUAGAUACCCGGGUAGUCCACGCUGUAAACGAUGAGUACUAGGUGUUGGGGGUAUCGACCCCCUCAGUGCCGAAGCUAACGCGAUAAGUACUCCGCCUGGGGACUACGGCCGCAAGGCUA
rnacentral:rRNA from 1 species